GACAGAGGUCCCGAGCGUUAGGCGGAAUCACUGGGCUUAAAGCGUGUGUAGGCGGAUUUGUAAGUACCUUGUGAAAUCCCACGGUUCAACCGUGGAACUGCUUGGUAUACUGCUUAUCUUGGGCCAGCUAGGGGCUACCGGAACAAGUGGUGGAGCGGUGAAAUGCGUAGAGAUGUGGAGGAAUACCGAUGGCGAAGGCAGCCCCCUGGGCCAAUACUGACGCUCAUGCACGAAAGCGUGGGGAGCAAACAGG
rnacentral:rRNA from 1 species